AGGCAUUAAUUAUAUAUUUUGGAUACACUUUUGUGGGUUUUAUUAUUGUAAUAUCCUUCACUGUCUUUUGUAUCUCUACAAAAAAGGGCCUUAGGCCCUGCUUCACUGAGAAGACAGACGUCUGUUCUGAUUGCUCCAUUCCCAUGCCAUACAAAUACACCCCUUUUUGCCUACACCUGGCCAGCUGUCAUCCCCUUCUCCUUGGCAUGACACUGGAGACAUGAUCUGCCUCAUAGAGCUGCUGCGAAGGUUAAAUGAAACAAUACUCGCUGGGAACGUAGCCCAGGCCCCUGCCCAUGAUUCGUCAUUGAAGAUCCAGCUCACAGUCUUCUUUCUGUGACAUCUUCCUCAUAGUAUCCAGGCAAAAAGGAUGCCUCCUCCCGCUGUGCACCCAGGGCCCUCUGCUCCUAUCUCCUCUUUAAGGCCGGCCUGGGCUGGAGCUCCUGGAAGGGAGAGACUGUAUGUGCUCAUCUUGGUGAUCAAGUUUGUAACCACAGUCACCAAAAU